rnacentral:rRNA from 1 species
GCGCGUAGGUCGGUUUUUAAGUUCAGAUGGUGUAAUCCCCGAAGGCUUAACUUGGGAACUGCAUCUGAGACUGGAAGGCUAGAGUACUGGAGAGGGUGGUGGAAUUCCUCGUGUAGCGGUGAAAUGCGUAGAGAUGAGGAGGAACACCAGUGGCGAAGGCGGCCACCUGGACAGUAACUGACGCUGAGGCGCGAAAGUGUGGGUAGCAAACAGGAUUAGAUACCCUGGUAGUCCACGCUGUAAACGAUGAACACUUGGUGUGGAGGGAGUUGACCCCUUCCGUGCCGGAGCUAACGCGUUAAGUGUUCCGCCUGGGGAGUACGGUCGCAAGGCUGAA